GUCUUACUCCCUCCGUUCGGAAUUACUUGUCUCGGAAAUGGAUGUAUCUAGAACUAAAAUACGUCUAGAUACAUCUAUUUCUGCGACAAGUAAUUCUGAACGGAGGGAGUACGUG
rnacentral:pre_miRNA from 1 species